rnacentral:tRNA from 1 species
CAUUAGAUGGCCGAUCAUAAGCAAUGGAAUUUUAAACCAUAAUAUAGUAUAAUUUUACUUCUAGUG